rnacentral:rRNA from 1 species
GAUGAACGCUAGCGGCAGGCCUAAUACAUGCAAGUCGAGGGGUAGAAGAGGCUUGCUUCUUUGAGACCGGCGCACGGGUGCGUAACGCGUAUGCAACCUACCUUCAUCUGGGGGAUAGCCCGGAGAAAUCCGGAUUAAUACCGCAUAAAAUCACAGGAUGGCAUUAUCCAAUGAUCAAACAUUUAUGGGAUGGAGAUGGGCAUGCGUGUCAUUAGCUAGUUGGCGGGGUAACGGCCCACCAAGGCGACGAUGACUAGGGGAUCUGAGAGGAUGGCCCCCCACACUGGUACUGGGACACGGACCAGACUCCUACGGGAGGCAGCAGUAAGGAAUAUUGGUCAAUGGAGGCAACUCUGAACCAGCCAUGCCGCGUGCAGGAAGACUGCCCUAUGGGUCGUAAACUGCUUUUAUUCGGGAAUAAACCUUAUUACGUGUAAUAAGCUGAAUGUACCGAAGGAAUAAGGAUCGGCUAACUCCGUGCCAGCCGCCGCCGUAA